CGGAGGGUGCAAGCGUUAUCCGGAUUCACUGGGUUUAAAGGGUGCGUAGGCGGAAUGGAAAGUCCGUUGUGAAAUCUCUGAGCUUAACUCGGAAAUUGCGGUGGAUACUGUCAUUCUUGAAUACUGUGGAGGUUAGCGGAAUAUGUCAUGUAGCGGUGAAAUGCAUAGAUAUGACAUAGAACACCAAUUGCGAAGGCAGCUGGCUACACAGAUAUUGACGCUGAGGCACGAAAGCGUGGGGAUCAAACAGGAUUAGAUACCCUGGUAGUCCACGCCCUAAACGAUGAUUACUCGACAUUUGCGAUACACAGCAAGUGUCUGAGCGAAAGCAUUAAGUAAUCCACCUGGGAAGUACGACCGCAAGGUUG
rnacentral:rRNA from 1 species